rnacentral:lncRNA from 1 species
CAGUCCUCUCCUCCUUAUCCUCCUACUCUCCAGCCAACUUGGGGCAGUGUGCGGUGCCCUUAAAAAAGCAAACUAGUAAUCGGAUAAUGAACAAUCUACAUUUCUCCAAAGAAAACAGUAAUGAAAAAUAUCUACCUCAUGCCUGUGAGUGGACUGACCUUUCUGAGAGUUUGGGAUGGCAGGCGAGGCGAGGCGACUCACUUAUAAGGAUUUAAUUAGCUGCGCUCGGGGGUGUAUGGGCUGUGAGCGGACAGAGAGAGGACAAGGAGAGAGGGGAGGAGGGAGAGAGAGAGAAAAAGAGAGAGAGAGUGAGAAAGAAAACAGAAAAGGCUCUAAUUCCAGAUGCUUCUCUUCUCAACCCCUCCCUCUACUCCUUCCUUCCCACUGCACCACCAACAUCCUCUUUCAUUUUAAAUGUUUUUCCAAUCCCAUGUAACAUUCAUCACUAACUCAAGAUGGUUAGUGAUGGGGGGGUUAAGCCUACAUGAAACAGGAAGGCUUCAUGACCUGAGGGAGGGCUGGAUCUUUGUUGUUGUUGUAGUUUCUUUCUGGAUCGUCUCUCUGCUAGCCGGAGGAUGACCUUUAAGGUCAGGAAGCGUGGCUUCAUAGUGUGACUCAACAGACAGAGCAGAGCAGAGAGCCUGACUGACUGACUGGCUGGAUUAGGCAUUUGUUCUUGUUCUGUUGCUUUGUUUUAUCUCUCUCUGUCUCUCUCUGUACUCCACUGCUCUACGGAGUAACCACAGAGGAACAGCGGUACAGAGACAUACAGUGAGUGUAUAAAGCAUUAGAAACAUCUGCUCCUUCCAGGACACAGACUGACCAGAUGAAUCCAGUUUCCCGUGUGAAUCACCACCCACAGGACAUCCAGCCAACGGCAGGAAAACAAGACACCAACCUAACACACGUCUUAAUUCAGGAGAACAAGACCUGGAUAGAUGCUCAGAGUUACUGCAGACAGCAUCACACAGACCUGGUCAGUGUGAG